rnacentral:lncRNA from 1 species
GAAGGGCUGCGCUGCAAAAUGUAGAUUCUUUUCUGGAUCUAAACCCUAGUUCUCCCUACUCUUGGGUCAGAAUGUAAUAGAUUUGCCCUCUGUAGUGGGACAAUGGUAACAUUUAGAUACAGAUCAGAACUUUCUCAGAGAUCCAAAAGCAUGAUUUGGUUACCUGGUUAUCAAGAAGCUUUUGGUUGUGACAUUCAGUAAACAUCUAUGGUCACUUAAUCUCUCUGAUUGCCUCUCAGAGGACGGAGACAUUCUGCACACAUCUGUUCUCAAGAGGUAGAAGAAGUAGGCUCAUCAGAAGUCUUUCUCUAAGUUUCAAAGCACAGCAGGGCACCUGGUCAGAUCAGUCCUGCUCAUACUUCCUAUUGCUUUCCUGGAAAAACUGAAAUCGUGUCACACCUAGCUGCUAAUAAAACUUCUGCUGAGAACCUGCCUGCCAUUAAUUACUUGGAGGUGAGAGGCUGCCCCAGAGCCAUGGGUUUGGAAACCUUUAUGAAAUAUUUUUGGAAAACUGGCCUUAUUCAGGGGAUGCCUGGAAGCUUGGGUGGUUUUUACAGAGCUACCUAGGGAAAACCCAAAAGGCAUCAGUGAACAGGCCACUUUCAGAGAACAGGGAGAGAUCUGGGAAACUCUUAGUUGGGAAGGAGGCAGGUGUGCAGUAGAAGAGGAGGUCUAGUGCAAAUGUGAAUGACCACACAUAGUUGCAUCAUUGUAUGCACAGCAGCCCUCUCUGAAGAACAAGUAUGACCAAUACAUUCGUAAGUGCCUGCUAAUAUGAUGUCCCAAUGUGCAUGAAGGAAUCCCAGGGCAUAAUCCAUUCAUUUUUGUCUUCCCUUUCCAGGCCACUUCAGUUUUGAGAGCAAAGAGCCUUCACUGGUCAUAGACACUCCUGCCCCAUUCUAUGCCAUUGUCUGGCCUUCAGAGUAGCCCUUCAAAUGUAAGGCCAUGAACUCCCAAUGGUGAAAAUAUUCCAGGUUGACGGGCCUGUCUGCCAGGAACCCAACUGUUUGUCUGGCAAAAACCAUGGUGCAGAUCCGAUUAGGAAUCCUCUUCCCAGGACCUGCCUUCCCCCUGCCUGCCACGGACCUGGUACCACAGCCCCUUGGCCAGGUUGUCCCACUGGAAGGUCUCUGGGGAGCUUUUGGUGCUGUGUAAUCAGCAAUGAGCUCCUGGGCUCACAGGUGAACUCAAAAUAGUUCUGGCAAGAAGGACAAGAGCCAGCUCUGUGGAAAAUGAAGCGCACAGAGCCGCUUGACCCAGUCUUCUGGCAGCAUCUGCAGGUAAGGAGGGGUGCGUUGGCUCGAGCCGUUGGGUUGGGAAGGCAGCACAGA